CGCCGGGAGAUCCCUCUAGCCAUAUGGCAAUUCAAAUAAACUGUCGGGACCCCGCACAAGCAGUGAAGCGCGUGGUUUAGUUAGCUGAUACAAGAAGACCCCUACGGGGGUUUGACAUCCAGGAGGUACUGAAAAGAAAGCGGUCCUACCUUUUAGGGAGCCUAGACACAUGGAGUAUGGCGGUCGUCAUUUCUCAGGUUGAGUCAGAGGUUUAAGUCCGGGAAAAAGGGCAACCAACCCCAUAGCCUUCCUCCGUCAGAGGGGAUUGCUGGCGGUAAGCCGGAGGCAGGUGGGGAAAUUGUCAAGUCAGCAUGGCCGUAGGAUUCAGGGCUACACACACGUCCCAAUGGCCAGUACAAAGGGCACAGAAGCCGCGAGGUGGAGUGCAUCCCAGCAAAGCUGGUCGUAGUUCGGAUUGCAGGGAGCAACCCGCCUGCAUGAACAAGGAGUUGUUAGUAACCGCGCGUCAGCCAUAUAGCGGUGAAUACGUUCCCGGGUUUUGUACACACCGCCCGUCACGUCAUGGGAGUUGAUAACGCC
rnacentral:rRNA from 1 species